ensembl:ncRNA K03H6.8 ncRNA
GCUUAGGCUUAGGCUCUGGCUUAGGCUUAAGCUUAGGCUUAGGCUUAGGCUUAGACUCAGGCUUAGACUUAGGCUUAGGCUUUGGCUUAGGCUCAAGCUUAGGCUUAAGCUUAGGUUUAAGCUAAGGCUUAAGCUCAGGCUUAGACUUAG